CGCAAGCACAUGCUGUAAUAACAUGCAUGUGAGCAUGUGGGAGUGGGAUCAGCUGCUUACAGCAGUCGACAAUGAUAAACGGAUCAAUCAACAAACCUACAUUUUAUACUAAUAUAUUUUAACGUUUUCCAAGUAGGCUAUCGAUCAGAUAAAAUUAACUGCCGGACUGAUUGAUCGCUACAAAAUAUUAAAAGUUUUAUCCCUUUUCACCAGCCAACAUGCUGAGGAUUCAUUAAAAUCAGUUAUAAGGUCGUUCUUGCUUACCGAAAUUACGUUCGACUACUUUUGGCAACUCCGCUCUGCCGACCAUCCCGCAAACAAAUAUUACGAAAAAGCAAAUUAAUCAUACGAAAAUAUAAGUUCGAAAAACUCGCCAUGACGGACAGCAUCGAGGCUCUCUAGUAUCUUCAAAAUGAAGUUUCCGAUAUCAUUGAUAACGAUAACGAGGAGCAAACCAAACAGUUUCAACUACUGGUAUCCGUCACAUUCCGGGAACAGGAGGAAAAAACGCAAGAAAACUUCAUGUCCGUCAAACCAAAUUGUAUGGCAAGUUGACAGAAUUUUUUUCCGAAUCGCUCACGCAGCCUCGGGACAAUUUAAUUGAUUUAUUGCCAUUAUGAUGAACGAGUGAAACCGGGUAAUCGACAACUCAUUGGCGAUUGACAAUGAUCAAUUGAAUUUGGAGUAGAGGAGAUUAGUGAGCGGUUCAAAAGGAGCAGUCACUGCGUGGCUCAAGAAUGUCCAAAAUUAUUGCGCAAAGGUCUUCUGGAGUUGUUCCCUGGCUGUGUCGAAGUGGCCUCACCGCAGUUUACCAUUAUAACUGUUGAUCAAAAAUUAAAUGAUCAAAGUCACCUGUGGAGCAGGAAAAUGAAAACAGAGAAGCUGGCUAUAGUCUUACAUAAAUAUUCUUGUGAUUGGUGAUUCAUCAUUGGCGAAAUUUCAGCUGUGUUUUGCACUGUUCCAAGAGCUAUAGCAACAACGGGGCGAGGUUCGUUCGGGGCUGGUUUUAACAGUGGCUGGUACAUCCGAUCAAGAAGCUGAAGAACGUAGGUUGGAAGCUGGUGCUAUGGUUUUUAUGACUGCUGUAACUGCCAGCCAUUGAAUUACGAAGAUGCACAAUCCGAAGUUCAGCCUCCACCCUUCUACAAGGACGUUUCAUCGUAAAUUCAAGCUGGAAAAUAAUUUUAGAGUCGAGAUAUAUGAUAGUGAAUUUAUUCGGAGUGACGCUGAAGAGUAGAAUUAUGCAGUACUUCCUAAGACUGGGCAUCUCUGGGAACAAUCAGUACUUGGGAGGAUGUUGUUGGUUAUCCAAUCGUUAACGUGAAAUCCGUACUCUGUUUUCAUCAAGGAAUGAAUGCAUUGAUGAGGAAUUCAUACAGAACUUUUUUAGAGAAACUUGUUGAAUAUAACCUCAAAAAUUGAUAUUCCAUUACUGAAUGUAUCGCAGUAAAUCACUUCCGAGAAAUUACAUCACACCUGUCAGCGUCAAAGAUGAGUCUGAGUUCUUUGGCUUAGUGUUGUAUAAUAGGCUAAAUAUUCUCGACGAAGCGCUGAAAACAUCUGACAAUUCGUACAAACUCAUCAAAAGUCGAUACGAGCCUCUGCGUGAUCUGGAUGACACAGAGCUGGCGUCAAUCCAAAUUGGGAAUUUAUUACCAAGGAGUGCAGGUCGUGGAUGGUUAGAUGCAACCAAAACAGCAUAUGUCGAAUGUCGUGCUCCAUCUGUCAGUGGUGACAAUGAGUUGCCAACCGAAUUCGCAGUACAGGAAAUUAGUAAGUGGUUCAAAAGAAGCAGUCACUGCGUGUCACUUCAAAAGAAUGUCCAACAUUGUAGCGCGAAGGUCCCCUGGAGUUGUUCCCUGGCUGUGUCGAAGUGGCCUCACCGCAGUUUACCAUUAUAACUGUUGGUAAAAAAUUAAAUUCUCAAAGUCAUCCAUGGAGCAGGGAAAUGGAAAUUGAGAAGCUGGCUAUAUUUUUUGUUCUGACAGCAUCUGACACCUGCACGCAGUCUAAGAUGGGCGGUUAUUGGGCAGAUUUCAUAAAUAGCGGACAACCCUAUCUUAAUCUCCUCAAAAUUAGUACCUCAUACAAAACUGAUCAACGGUUCCGCUGCUUGGGCUUCAAAAUAGAGCAAAAGAAUCAUUAUCAAAUAAUAUCCAUUGAUAAUGAUCCGAGAGAGUUUCCCGGAAGUAUCUAUACAACCGUUUCUUCGAAUAUCGAGUUCCUCAAAGAAAGCCGCCUUAACGAUCAUCUAGUUCAGUCUCGUACCCUUUUGAAGAGAAUGUGAUACGAACCUGAUAGUUAGUCAACUAAAAUACAAGAAAUAUCAAGAGUUUACUUUAAUGGGCUCCGAGUAAUCAGGGGAUAAAAAUCAAGUAACGAUUCUUGCUGAAGUCUUGUGACAGCUGGAAAACGCAACGGGAUUCAUUGAACGGAAGUCCUGGUCAAUUUGAUGAUUUAGGUGUACCGUUUGUUUGCAGUAUAACUCCUCACUUAAAGAAUUUUAAUCAUACUCAGGAUAUCGUUGAUGCUAUUAUGAAACGGAAAGUAACUUUCGAUACAUUGAAGCUCGUUUGUGCGCUCAUCUCGACACUGUGGAUACCCCUUCCGAUGAUGGAAAGAAGUCAAAAGAGAUUUGAGAGGCAUCAAGGGUGACUUGAAAAGGCCGUUUGAAAGAGCAUGGAAAGGUUACGAUACCAAGUACGCAGAAAUGGAAAAGGAAUAGAAGCAACACCAAGUACCCAGAGGGUGACCUCAUCCGCUCGGAAGUUACACCCGCUGAAAUUGCUGACUAAAUGGAAAAAUUCGUUCGCAAAUGUCAAACGAUGGCCACACGAGAUUGACUAAAACUGCAAUAGAGUCAAUAGGGUUCUCGCGGAUAACAAAAAUGAUGCUCCUAACUAGAAAGUUGUACUGACCAAAGAUAUUGAACGUUUUCCCACCUAAAUGGAUAUUUAACUCGGUUAAAUAUCCAUGAGACCUCGGUUAAAGGCAUCGUCAAUGUUGAAGAGAAUGUUUUCAUCUGUAUGCUGGGCUCGACAUAAGUAGAAUGUUUGCUGAUUCCUCGGGAGAACGACAAAAAAAAAGGAUAAAUUUAUACCAAAUCCGCGAGAUUUGGCAAAGCGCUUCAAUUGGUCGAUGAAAUAAUUUAAUGGCAUCCUAGAUGCGAUCCAGGGCGAUUCGACGACGACGUCACUAGUAGCGGCAAAGUUAUCGGCAACUCCAAUGGCAAUUCGCAUGGGAACCUCGAGUGAUUGGACCGGUGGCUUAACGAGAUCCAAUCCAAAACAUGAUGCAAAAACCGUGAUGACGGGGAAAAGCGAAACUCGAGGACGAGGGAAUUGUUAAAACGGAGGUCUGAGUGAGAGAAGAUAAUACACGGAGACAACUUCAAAGACGGGCCAACGAACCCCAUUAUCGAGUGGAAGGACAGAGAGGAAAAACACGAUACAAAUAUGCGAAGCACUGUGAUACAUUACGAAAAAUGUAUUUACCAACGAGAAAGUCACCGAAAAUAAUACCAACGUAUAUACUCCAAUUGAUGCGCAAAUGAUAGACGCGUCAGUGGAGGAAACUUGAGAUCGACAACCUUCUUUACUCUCCAUUCUAUGAAUAUGGAUUUAUCUGUAUUUGUUAAUAAACUUGUAAUUCAUCGUA